rnacentral:rRNA from 1 species
AUUGAACGCUGGCGGCAGGCCUAACACAUGCAAGUCGAACGGUAACAGGAAGCAGCUUGCUGCUUUGCUGACGAGUGGCGGACGGGUGAGUAAUGUCUGGGAAACUGCCCGAUGGAGGGGGAUAACUACUGGAAACGGUAGCUAAUACCGCAUAACGUCGCAAGACCAAAGAGGGGGACCUUAGGGCCUCUUGCCAUCGGAUGUGCCCAGAUGGGAUUAGCUAGUAGGUGGGGUAACGGCUCACCUAGGCGACGAUCCCUAGCUGGUCUGAGAGGAUGACCAGCCACACUGGAACUGAGACACGGUCCAGACUCCUACGGGAGGCAGCAGUGGGGAAUAUUGCACAAUGGGCGCAAGCCUGAUGCAGCCAUGCCGCGUGUAUGAAGAAGGCCUUCGGGUUGUAAAGUACUUUUAGCGGGGAGGAAGGGAGUAAAGUUAAUACCUUUGCUCAUUGACGUUACCCGCAGAAGAAGCACCGGCUAACUACGUG